CAGGUGUAGUUCAGUGGUAGAACAUCAGCUUCCCAAGCUGAUUAUGGGGGUUCGAUUCCCCUCACUUG
rnacentral:tRNA from 1 species